AAUCUGCAACUCAAUCUCAGUCGAUAUCUCUCGAUUUCUCUCGAUCUCCAACAGUCUCAAUCUGUAUCAAUUUCUCGUUCAAUUCAGCAUCUCGUUCGAUUCAGUCUCUAUUGUUUUUUCUUAAUCUCAGUCUAGUACUUCGAUCUCUGUCUCAAUCCUUCAUUGUCACUUUUCAUCGAUCUUCAUCCGUGAAGAGCUUGGUGAAACUUCUGUUGAAGGUUUAUGAGUUUCAUUUUGAUAUAUCAAUUUUAAUGUUUUGGUAAAUAAUUGAUAUCUAAUUGAUCUCUAUGUGACUGUUCUUGACUUCUUGCAACUGAGUUACGCUCAUGAGAAUAACUGAGUUACAUGUUUUGGCAAGAUGUCGCUUGCUUGUG